rnacentral:rRNA from 1 species
AUACGGAGGAUCCGAGCGUUAUCCGGAUUUAUUGGGUUUAAAGGGAGCGUAGGCGGACGCUUAAGUCAGUUGUGAAAGUUUGCGGCUCAACCGUAAAAUUGCAGUUGAUACUGGGUGUCUUGAGUACAGUAGAGGCAGGCGGAAUUCGUGGUGUAGCGGUGAAAUGCUUAGAUAUCACGAAGAACUCCGAUUGCGAAGGCAGCCUGCUGGACUGUAACUGACGCUGAUGCUCGAAAGUGUGGGUAUCAAACAGGAUUAGAUACCCUGGUAGUCCACACAGUAAACGAUGAAUACUCGCUGUUUGCGAUAUACAGUAAGCGGCUAAGCGAAAGCGUUAAGUAUUCCACCUGGGGAGUACGCCGGCAACGGUGAAACUUAAAGGAAUUGACGGGG